UGAGAGGAUGACCAGCCACACUGGAACUGAGACACGGUCCAGACUCCUACGGGAGGCAGCAGUGGGGAAUAUUGCGCAAUGGGCGCAAGCCUGAUGCAGCCAUGCCGCGAGUAUGAAGAAGGCCUUCGGGUUGUAAAGUACUUUCAGCGGCGAGGAAGGGAGUAAAGUUAAUUGCGUUACUCAUUGACGUUACCCGCAGAAG
rnacentral:rRNA from 1 species